CCACUGAGAUGUCGACACCUAGGGUCACCUUGGAAGCUACACAGUAAAUAUUUCAAGCCUUGAUCAGUAUGGCGGAGAGUUGGCCCAGCCGACAUGCACUCAGGACUGUUAAGUGAGCAGGAAAUACAUUUCGAUUGUGUUAAGCCACUGAAAUUUUGUCUCUUUGUUACCACAGCUUAGCCUAACACAAUGUUAGGUACAUAAACAAAUCAAAUUUUUGGUCUGGAAAAAUAUGACCACUAAAGGGAAGGGUAACGGAAACUAACAUUCCUUUGGGGCUCAGUGAGUACCAGAACUAAUACUUGGCAAGUGGCAGGUUCAUUGCACAAUUCCUCCCAUAUAAUUUGUCUUGGAAGCCCACAAUGCCAGGUAUUAUGAUCCCUGUUCAACAGAUGAGGGAUCUGAAACAGAAAGGUAAUGUACAUUGCACAGCAACUAAGUGAGAGAACUGAGAUUCGAGGCAAACAUGAUAAGCUCCAAAGAAUUUGCCCACCCCAUGCUGCCCUGGGGAGAUGUCCAGUCCAUUGCUUUAUUCCAGAGAUGUUUCGUGGGGCAAAGAAGGCAUUGUAGAAGUGGAUAGACAUCAGUCUCAUUGUGAGACACUUCGAACAGUUUAUUUUUUUAACCAUAUAACUGAGGCUGUUUCAUGAGAAGUCUCCACUUCUACAGGCUGGGGAUCAUCCAUCUCAAAUGGCUAAGUAGUAAUACAGGUGACUCUGUCAAGAGCCUGGCAUGUAGCCUGGUGCCAGGUCAGAGCGGCUGAUCCUAGCUUUUAUGGCCCUAUUUACAGUUCAUGGCCUUCCUGGCCUCUGUCAUACCCUUCAAAGUGGCUGCCUUGUCUACAUUCCUUGGUCAUUUCUGUAUAAACAGGACACUCUGGCUCACUUAUGCAACUUUCAAGUGAGGUUUCUAAACAUAGAGAUGUUUGUAAACCUUCUUUCUCCACUUGCUUUAAUGGAGUGCUGGGGUUUGGAAACCGGUUUUCUAGCUGGGUCAUCUUGGGCACAUCUCUGGGCUUUAGUUUCCUCCUCUACAAAAGAAGCUGGGCUAGAGCUGGAUUUUUAAAACUUCCUAUCAACAAAAACAUUUGUAUAAUAAAUGACCUCAAACCUCCCUGCGUUUUCUAUUAAAAAAUACUAAAGACUAUGUCCUGUCUUCAGUGCCUAAUACAAUGCCUGGAAAACCAGUGUUUAGUAGGUUUUUGCUGAUGGAAUUAGACUCUACAAAACCUCCUUAAGCUUGGUAGUCAUCCAUGCGCUUCACCAAAUAUUUCAAAAGCUCACCUCUUCCAGGCACAUGGUAGGGUGGCAUUGCCACGUUCCCUCAUGGCUGCACCAGGCCACUGGACAUGUUCUGGUCAGUGAGCUGUGAGAGGGAGAUUAAACAUUUCAUCUCCAGUGAAAGAUCCUUAGGAUUCUCAUUUUGGUCCACAGGAGCAAGGCAGUGUUCUAGAUGGGGACUGCCCGGUCAGCCUGGGUCCUGGAGUGAGGACAAUGACGCAGCAACUUCGCUGACACAGCAGACAGGCAGCAGAAGCAGAGGCAUAUAUUUGCUGUUCUAAAGCACUGAAGAUUUGAAAUUGUUUGUUAUCCCAGUGUAACCUAGCCUGUGCUGACUGAUUUGGCAAAGUAAAUCAUAAUCAGUUAGAUUUUCCAUUUUUAAUAACCGUAGAAAUAUACAUCUUCCAUUUAGAACCUCUAAUGAACAAAGUAGUAUGGUCACAUUAAACUGAUAGCACCCUGCCAAAAUCACAGCAAAGUGAUCAUUUUUUCAUAGCAGUGAUCUCAAUAGGAUAGUCUCAUUCCAUUUAAGAAUAUGAUUUCUGUUUGGCUUUUAUUUUAUUUUUUAAUUAACUAAUUAAUUUUUAUUAAAGCAUAGUUGAUUUACAGUGUUGUGCCAAUUUCUGUCAUACAGAAAAAUGACCCAGUCAUACAUAUAUAUACAUUCCCUUUGUUUUUUGUUUUUGUUUUUGUCUUUUCUAGGGCUUCACAUGUGGUAUAUAGAGGUUCCCAGGCUAGGGGUCUAAUUGGAGCUGUAGCCACCGGCCUACACUACAGCCACAGCAACACCAGAUCCGAGCCGCAUCUGUGACCUACACCACAACUCAUGGCAAUGCCGGAUCCUUAAUCCACUGAGCAAGGCCAGGGAUCGAACCGGCAGCCUCAUGUUUCCUAGUCAGAGUCCUUAACCACUGAGCCAUGACGGGAACUCCCACAUUCCCUUUCUUCUGUUAUCUUCCAUCCUGGUCUAUCCAAAGAGACUGGAUUUAGUUCCCUGUGCUAUACAGCAGGACUUCAUGGCUUAUCCAUUCUAAAUGUAAUAGUUUGCAUCUACAAACCCAAACUUCCAGUCCAUCCCACACCCUCCCCACUCCACUUGGUAACCACAAGUCUGUUCUCUAUGUCUGUGAGUCUGUUUCUGUUUUGUAAAUAAGUUCACUUGUAUCAUUUUUUAGAGUCCAUAUAUAAGUGAUAUCAUAUGAUAUUUGUCUUCUUUGUCUUACUUGGUAUGAUAAUCUCUAGAUCCAUCCAUGUUACUGCAAAUGGCAAUAUUUCAUUUUUAUGGCUGAUUAAUAUUCUACUAUAUCUAUUGAUAAGUAGAUGGGUAGAUAGAUAGAUAGAUAGAUAGAUAGAUAUAAAACAUCUUAUUUAUCCCAUUCAUUUGUUGAUGGGCAUUCAGGUUUCUUCCAUGUCUUGGCUACUCUAGUGCUGCUAUGAGCAUUGGGGUACACGUAUCUUUUCAAAUUAUAUUUUCCUCUUGUAUGUCUCUAGGAAUGGGAUUGCAGAAUCAUAUGGUAGUUGUUCUAUUUUUAGUUUUUUGAGGAACCUCUGUAUUGUUCUCCAUAGUGGCUGUACCAAUUACAUGUUUACUGACAGUGUAGGAGGAUUCCCUUUUAUCCACACCCUGUCCAGCCUUUAUUACUUGUAGACUUUUUGAUGAUGGCCAUUCUGACUGGUGUGAGGUGAUAGCUCAUUAUGGUUUUGAUUUGCGUUUUACUAAUAAUUAGCAAUGUUGAGCAUCUUUUCAUGUGUCUGUCGGUCAUCUGUAUGUCUUCUUUGGAGAAAUGUCUUUUUAGAUCUUCUGUCUAUUUCUUGACUGGGUUGUUUAUUUUUUUGAUAUUGAGUUGAGUGAGCUGUUUGUAUAUUUUGGAAAUAAAUUCCUAGUCAGUUGUGUUGUUUGCAGAUUUUUUUUUCUAUUUUUUUUUUUUUUUUUUUUUAAGGGCCGCACUCGUGGCAUAUGGAGGUUCUCAGACUAGGGGUUAAAUUGGAGCUGUUGCUGCCGGCCUACACCACAGCCGCAGCAACACCAGAUCUGAGCAAUGUCUGCAACCUAUGCCUCAUCUCACAGCAACAUUGGAUUCUUAACCUACUGAGUGAGGCCAGGGAUCAAAUCUGCGUCCUCGUGGAUGCUAAUCAGAUUCAUUUGUGCUUAGCCACAAUGGGAACUCCCUGCAAAUAUUUCGAUCAUUUUUUCAGGCUUUGAAAACUCAUGUAUAACUUAGGUGCUUGUUGCUAUUUCAGCUCUUGUUUCUGUUCAGUGUGCUUAGUUCUGUAUCACUGGCCUGAUGAACCCUAGAAACCCUCCCAGUCUGGCCCACUGGAAAGAGCCUGCUCUUUGGAAACAGUCCAUUUUUUCACCUCUCUGCACUUCAGUUUCCUUACUUAUACAGAGGAAUAUAAUAUACUACCUCACAGUGCUGUUGUGAAGAUCAAAUGAACUAUCAUAUCUGCUGCACUUCAAGCAGCUUACAGCGCAUGUGAUGUUGGCUUCCUGAGUGUGUCGGGGGCCUUUCAGCUCUGAAUGUGGUGACCAUGUGUUUGAGUUUGUCCUAAAUGGUCCCAAUUUCUCUUCUUGUUUUUACAUAAUUAUUAAGAGUGUCCUCUUUCACACUCAAAUAUUCCUGCUGAGACAACUGAUUGCAUGAUCCUAUAGUUCUAAGCAUUGUGGGUCUGUGAUCUUGAUUAUAACAAGCACCAGGACCCGUGCAGGUGCCGUCUUCUGUGGACCUUCCUUUGGUCAUUCAGUAACUGUUCUCUCUUGCAGGGUGUUCAAGACAGGGCUGCUUUAGCCUGAAGUUUUCACAUUAAUGUGAUAGUAGACAUCUCAGAGGCAUAGAAGCACAGGGCUGGAGAGAACGCAAAGAUCAUUUAGUCCAACACCUCCAUUUUUCCUGGGCAGAACACAGGAGGGAGGUCACUCAGUCAUUAGCAGCUAUCCAGUUCUCAUGGUCACACUUCUUAUAUGCUAGCCUAGUAGGUGGGUGUCCAAGCCCUACGAUGAAAUUACAGAGCUCAAGUCACACUUCUUAUAUUCUAGCCUAGUAGGUGGGUGACCAAGCCCUACGAUGAAAUUACAGAGCUCAAGGCCUAGCACUGCUCCAUGCUAGAUACUUCCCACUUGUCAUGUGUGGGUCAUGGUAUACCCACCUCCUCGUUGUUGAGAGAGUUCCUGAGUGCUGAGCACAUGUGGGACACAGUGGGUGCUCAGAAAAUAUUGCCCGGCUUCUGCUCUCAUGCUUGAUCUACCUCAUGGAUCCAGCCAUGGGCAUUGUGAUUUUGUUAUAUACUGGGCUGUGCAAAUGCUUGAACGAUCUUUGUCCUCAUGGAGUAUAUUGUCCAGAAGUCUGACUCUCUCUGAAAAUUCUUUACAAUCAGUUCAUUGUAAGAAGUGGGGCAGGAUGUGGCUGAGGAGAAUCUGGCCAUUCCCUCCCAUAAAAUAUACUUUGCAAGCCUAAAAGUAAAUAAUAAGAUAAUGAUUAUGGGCACAUAUUUGUAAAUCCAGACUGUCUGUGUUCAGAUCCUCACUCUGUCACUUGUUAGCCAUGUGACUUGACUUAGUGCCUUAAUUUCUCCAUGCUCUGGUCUUCCCACCUAUGAAAUCGGGGUUGGUGCCAUAAUACUCACCACACUGCAUGGUUGUGAUGGUUGAUGUGCUAAUAUGAAAUAAGAACUUAGAACAGCACCUCAAGUGUAAAAGCUGUGUCAUGCCCAAUAGUUAAAAAUUAUUACUACAUGUGCUAAAUUACUUUCUCUAAUAUCUUUCUCUUCUUUCUCUACCUAAUGAAACCCCGGUCAUUAUUUCACUCUACCACAAUGCUUUUUUAUUUAUUAAACAGCAGGACAAAGUAAUACAACAAUCAGCAGGGUAAUGUAAUACAAAUAAGGGGAAGUCAUUUACAAAGCAUUACUCCAUUAAGGUUUCUGCCACCGUGUCCCCACGUUCUCUUGCAGUCUUAGAAAAUUCACACUCAUGAACUUUACCUGGAUUUAAUUAUAUGGCAUUAUUUAUUUAUUUUUCUUUCAACUUUUUAUUUUAACAUGAUUUCAGGUUUGCAGAAAAAUGGCAGAAUAGUGCCAAGAAUGCCUGUGUCUUAAUUUUGGGCUGUUACAACAAAGUACCAUCGACUGGGGGCUUAUAAAGAACAUGAAUUUUUUUCCUCACAUCUCUGGAAACUAGGAAGUCUGAGAAAUAUGUUGCAGACAUGAUAUUUCUUUAUCCCUAAAUGUUUCAGUGUGUUUUUACUAAAAACAAGGAUAUUCUCUUCCAUAACCACAGUAUAAUAAACAAAAUCAGAAAAUUAGCAUUGAGACAAUACUAUUACAUUAUUCAAAUUUUACAAAUGUUCUAAUAAUGGCUUUUAUAACAAAAGAAAACCAUGGCUUAUAUACUCCGUUCACUUGUCAUGCCUCUUCUGUAUUAGUUAAUCUGGAGCAAGUUCAUUCAGUUGCUCUGUGUCUUUAAUGGCAUUGACAUCUUUGAAAUGUGCUGGUCGGUUAUUUUGUAGAACAUUCCUCAAUUUGGUUAUCUGAUGUUCUCUCAUGAUUAGGUUCAGUUUAUGCAUUUGUGGGCAAAAACAUCACAGAAAGAUGUUGGCCCUUCCGUGCUUUUUGUCAGGAGGCACAUGGUGUCAAAUUGUCCCAUUACUGAUGAUGUUAAUUUGACCUCUUGAUUUAAAGUGGUAUGUGCCAGUUUUCUCUACUCAAGUUCCUAUUUUCCUCUUUCUAGUUAAGUGAUUUUGGACAGAUGCUUUGAAACUAUGCAAAUAUCCUGUUACUCCUAAAAGUUUCACCCACCAGUUUUAGCACUCAUUCAUAAUUCUUGCUGAAUCAAUGAUUAUUGUUAUAGUUGCCAAAUGGUGAUCUUCUAAAUGCAGUAUUUUGUCUUCUUUCUUUUGUUGGAUUUCUACUGUAAGGAAGAUCUUUCCCUUCUCUACCUUUUGCUUAGAUCCAUACAGACUCCUGUAUGUAUUCUUUUUCUAUGCCAUGAAUUAUAAUCUUAUUUAUUUGUUUUGCGAUUCAUAUUGUAUCAAUGGUUGCCUCUAGUCAUUUUCCAAAUUUGCUUUUAAAAACCAUUUCUUUCAGAAGCCUGGUCCAGUCUACUCAAGCUCAUCGAGUAGCUUACUCCCUUGUGUGCCUCUGGAUUGUGUAUUUUCCUCUCCUUCUACAUUUCUUGUUGGGUACUUGUUGGUUUUAUUUCACAUUAGUCUGUGAACUCUUGAGUGUAAGGAAGAUGUCUGAUUCAUCUCUGUUUAGUGCAGUGAUUGGAGCAAGGGGGAAACACAGUUCAUCCUUGUUGAAAACAUGAAUGAAUG
rnacentral:lncRNA from 1 species